rnacentral:rRNA from 1 species
CAAUAGCGUAUAUUAAAGUUGUUGCAGUUAAAAAGCUAGUAGUUGAAUUUUUGCUUGCCGCCGAUGUCGGAACUUCCGUACGUUCGGCGGCGUGCAUCCUUGGGUGGAACCUGUGUGGCAUUAGGUUGUCGUGCAGGGGAUGCUCAUCGUUUACUGUGAAAAAAUUAGAGUGUUCAAAGCAGGCUUACGCCGUUGAAUAUAUUAGCAUGGAAUAAUAAGAUAGGACCUUGGUACUAUUUUGUUGGUUUGCGCACCGAGGUAAUGAUUAACAGGGACAGUUGGGGGUAUUCGUAUUCCAUUGUCAGAGGUGAAAUUCUUGGAUUUCUGGAAGACGAACUACUGCGAAAGCAUUUACCAAGGAUGUUUNCAUUAA